CGUAGGACAUUGAUCGUUGAACAAACGAACCUUUGGUAGCGGCUACACCACCUGGGUGUCCUGAUCCAACAUCGAGGUCGUAAGCCUCCCUGGUGAUAUGGACUCUUAAGGGAGAUGGCGCUGUUAUCCCUGGGGUAACUUGGUUCGAUGAUCAGUGUUACUGGGUCAGUGUAGUUAGUUGUUUGGUUUGUUGGCCUCACGGUGGGGUUUAGCCUGGUCUCAUGGAGGUUCUUUUUUUCUCCGCAGUCGCCCCAACUUAAAAUUUAUACUAUAAUAAGUAGUUUACACCUGUUGUUUGUUGGCUUGUUUUCUUACUAGUGGUAGGUUUGGAAGCUCCACAGGGUCUUCUCGUCUUGUGUAAUUAUCCCAGCUUUUGUACUGGGAGAUCAGUUUCAUUGAUUGGCCGUAGGGGACAGUUAAACCUUCAAUUAGCCGUUCAUACAGGUCUCUAUUUAGGAGACAGGUGAUUACGCUACCUUUGCACGGUUAUGAUACCGCGGCCGUUAAAU
rnacentral:rRNA from 1 species